rnacentral:rRNA from 1 species
UAGCGAAUAUUAAAAUUGUUGCAGUUAAAAAGCUCGUAGUUGGAUCCAAGGUUGGGCAUGCCUGUCUGUUCUUAGUAGCAUGACUGUGUGUGUCCGCCUUUAUUAGUUGACUGUUCAUUAUGGUGGUUUUAACCGACUGCUAUAGUGUGCUCAACACGUUUACCUUGAAAAAAUCAGAGCGAUCCAGGCAGGCCUUUGUGCUUGUAUGUUGUUGCAAGGAAUAAUAGAAUAGGACUUCGGUUCUAUUUUGUUGGUUUUGAGAAUUGAAGUAAUGAAUAAUAGAGACAGUCGGGGGCAUUUGUAUGGUGGCGUU